UUAGACCUCAGAUCAGGA
rnacentral:rRNA from 1 species